CUUCCAACCUCCCAUAUCCAAGUUUUGGGCUGAUUAUUGCCGACCAUAGAGAUAUAUAACUACUAACACUAGAGGGCGUACUCGCUCAAAUUGCUGUGUUGACCUGGAGCGGUGGCCGCCAUUACUAAGGAGGGCAGAAAAACGAACGACCCAACAAGAUACUGUGCACAACAUACGUGGAAAAAUUUGGAGAAGCCAGGUUCGUGCGCUGCAUUUGGACGUUCAAACCCAAGAAAGAAAGGGAACUGCAUAAUAGUUCACAAGAAUACACCCAAGAGAGGAAAGGAUGUUACACACCACAUCUCCUUCCUAGAGCUGUGCCUACUGUCUUUCCUGGACAUCAUCCCUAUAAACAGACCCAUGGCUCAAGACUCCCAGCAAAACCAUGUACAACAUCCGAAAGUGUUCCAGUGCCUCCAAAGAAACCCUAUGACAUUACAAAAGAACAUGACUAUUCUUUUUCUGUCUGAGUUGAUUAGAAACUGAAUAUAACCAGACAGCAAGUGCAGGAUGCCAAGAAACAGCUUAAAGUGGUGAAACAAGGUAAACAGGAGAGAUGGAAAAACCAGGACUCUCUUGCAGGAAGUCCACGAAAGCAAGCUCAUUAGCCAGGAUCAGCUUGACCUACUUCAACACAACUUUGGAGAGAACGCAUUUUCAGGAAAAUAACCAAAACAUAGAACUUCAUUCGUACAAACUACAAAGACAGAUCAGUCUUUUAUAUUUUGCCUCUUGUUUGCAUAGCUUAUCCACUGGAUGAUUGAAUGUGAAGCCGUUAAAACUGGAGAGAGCUUUCAAUAAUCUUUUAAAAAAACAGAACAAUCUGAGACUUUUGUUCUGUGUAAUGAAAUAAAAUUCUUGGGACACAUUGUGACAGUUGCACAACCUAACCAUAAUUUUCUGUUUGUUAACUUUACACGAAGGCAAACUAAAGUGGAACUUAGAAGAGUUGAUGAAAUUAGGGGUUAAACAAAAUGUACUUGAAUUUGAGUUGUUGUGAGGUACACUGUAUUUGAAUAUUUACUCUAUAAGCUUCAUAAUUGUACAUGUACCUGCUGUAUCUGAUUCAGUUGCUAUAAUUUUUGCAAAUUAUUUGCACUCUACAUGUGCUUUGAUUCUGCAGGUACAGUAUGGAUAACCUGAGAUAAACAUGUAGGCCUUUUUUAUAACAUUGUCUGGAUUGCUCUCAACCAAGUGAUUUACAUCAUUAAAGAUGAAAAGCAAGAAAUUCACAUCAAGUGAGCCCAUUUUCAAUAAACGAGAAGAAUUCACAGAUGUGUGGCAAUUGAAAAGCUUGUGUAAUGCACAGUUGCACACCAUAUACACACCCAUAGAUCGUUUUGUACAUACUACAUAGGUUUGAAUUUUGUUCCAAAAUGGAAAACUGCUUUUGAAGAGAUUUGAUAACAGAACAAUUAUAUGGAAUAAUGUCACUAGAUGUAAACCCAUAAGAUUGUGCACUCUUUGACUUGUUGUAUCUACUGUGUACAUUUGAGGGUAAUCAGUUUCAAAUUUAUUAUUAUACCUGAUGAAUAAUGAUGUCAAAAGACCAUGUUACUAUGAGGUUUCACUGAAUAGUGUAGUGCAGUAUCCUGAGAUGUAAGUCUCUUCUUGAAAUUAUAGUUCUUCAUAGCAAUACAGGUGACUUGGAAUAUAUAUGCUCAAUUACUUUUUCUGGUUUGCAUUUAUUACUUGAUGAAAUGUCUUUGUAUUAUUAGUAAAUGUGACGCGCCUGCGUGCGCUUGGAGCCAAGACUAGUUAAUAAAGUGUUCGUUAUCGCUGACAUCUUGACACAUAGACAUUGGCCUCCUGACAUUUAUGUUUUGGGAGUUAUUGUGGCGGUUUUGGGAUGUGUAAUGCUUGUCUUUGGUGGCGAAUCAAUUUGUCGUGGUUGUGUUGCCUAUGAUCCGUGACAGUAAAUUUGGGGCUAAAAUCUGAGGUGUUGUUUUUGCAAUGUCUGUCCUUUCGAUUGUGUUGUAUUAUUGCAGUAUAUAUGUCCAAUAAAAUGUCAAAACUUAAAUGCCUAUGCUGUAGAAUAUCAACACACGUGUGCCGUGUGGUAAUAAAAGGUUCAUUUAUUCAUUUUUUUCCU
rnacentral:lncRNA from 1 species